rnacentral:misc_RNA from 1 species
GUACCCUCAAGCUUUGCUUGGUGUUGGGCGUCUUUGUCUCCAGCUCGCUGGAGACUCGCCUUAAAGUCAUUGGCAGCCGGCCUACUGGUUUCGGAGCGCAGCACAAGUCGCGCUCUCUUCCAGCCAAGGUCAGCGUCCAGCAAGCCUUUUUUCAAC